UUUGAUCGCAAAUCUCCAUCCGACUACCUACUGAUUAUAAUGCGCCGGUGAGAGAAAAGCGAAGGGAAUUUCUGGAGCAUCGAAGCAUCGAAGCAAGAACAACAGGCAGGAAAUGAGGGAAGAAAGGAGAGAAGAGUUAGUCCUCAUUCCACAUCCGCGGUGGUGCGAUUGUCGCCGUUUUCUAACCAACCAAUUGACCCCGCAGCGGCAAAAAAUGAAAAAAAAAAAACAAAAACAACGAGACAAGGAAGAAAGAUAAGAAAGGAGAGAAGCCCCACACCCAGGCAAUUUAUACUCCCGGCCAAGAACGGGUCAGAACAACACGGGAUCUCGGUAAUGAUCUUCUUUAGGAGAAAAGUUUGAUGCUUUAAAACGAGUAUAAAAGUUUAAUCUCUUAAAACAAGGUGAAAGCUUGGCUUGCU